GAGGAACCAUCUGCCAAGUGUCCCCGUGGUGAGACGUCCGACCAGAGAACGGAGGUCGACGACGUUCAGGUCCCCGGUCAGAAGCACGACUACAAAGUGCACCUCAAGGAGGUUGACAUCCACGGCAAGGAAAAGCUGGAUGUCGUAUGCACCAGCAAUCCUGAGGAAGCCGACAAGAUGAUCAGCAGGAUCCUGAAAAGGGUCUGCGGCUUGUACCCUCAGUACAUCGGCGUUGAUGUUGAGUAUACCAGGGAGAACGAACCUCCGCAGAGGGCAGCGGUUCUACAGUUAUGCGUGGAGGAACUCUGUUUGGUAUAUCACAUCACCGCGGCAACAAAAUGGCCCAAGAGUCUGCGCCCGUUCCUGAAGGAGGACAGGUUCUACACCUUUGCCGGCUUCAGUAUUGAAGGUGACAAAGAGAUGCUGCGAAGUUCUGGUUUGGAGAUCAACCCCGACAAGUUCAUUGACAUCCAGUGCAAAUGGAGAGUUCCUUUCAAGGGAAGAAAGAGGGUUGAAGACCAUAAACUGUGGGGGAUCAGCCCACUGCCCAAUUACCUCAUUGAGUAUGCAGCGAUAGAUGCGUACGCCACCUACGAGUCGUGGAAGAGAAUU
rnacentral:rRNA from 1 species